rnacentral:lncRNA from 1 species
GAUCCUCAUCCUGCUGCUGCUCCUGUACCAUCGGGAUCCCAUGUGCUGCCAGUUCCUCUGCUCCUGCCGCUUCUUCCAGACCCCCAGCCAGUAUGACUGUCCCCCACCCUACUUCAGCAGCAGCCAGCGACUGGUGGGUCCCCAGCGUGGAGCGACACAGCUGGAGAGCGCUGCCGAGAACCCGGGCGUGCAGGGAGACGAGCUGUUCUGUGUUGGACCCCCCAGCACCUACCAGCUCCCUUCCUGGGAGCAACCCCGCUUGCCGAGC